UACGGAGGGUCCGAGCGUUAAUCGGAAUUACUGGGCGUAAAGCGCAUGCAGGCGGUCUGUUAAGCCAGAUGUGAAAGCCCGGGGCUCAACCCCGGAAUAGCAUUUGGAACUGGCAGACUAGAGUCUUGGAGAGGGGAGUGGAAUUCCAGGUGUAGCGGUGGAAUGCGUAGAUAUUAUGAAGAAUACCAGUGGCGAAGGCGGCCCCCUGGACAGAUACUGACACUCAGAUGCGAAAGCGUGGGGAGCAAACAGG
rnacentral:rRNA from 1 species